AUUGAACGCUGGCGGCAUGCCUAACACAUGCAAGUCGAGCGGAGCGGCGGACGGGUGAGUAAUGCCUAUGAAUCUGCCUGGUAGUGGGGGAUAACGUCCGGAAACGGGCGCUAAUACCGCAUCCUAUCAGAUGAGCCUAGGUCGGAUUAGCUAGUUGGUGGGGUAAAGGCCUACCAAGGCGACGAUCCGUACCUGGUCUGAGAGGAUGAUCAGUCACCGUGGAACGGGGACACGGUCCAGACUCCACGGGGAGGCAGCAGUGGGGAAUAUUGGACAAUGGGCGAAAGCCUGAGCCAGCCAUGCCGCGUGUGUGAAGAAGGCCUUCGGGUUGUAAAGUACUUUCAGCGGGGAGGCGUUACCCGCAGAAGAAGCACCGGCUAACUCCGUGCCAGCAGCCGCGGUAAUUC
rnacentral:rRNA from 1 species